rnacentral:lncRNA from 1 species
CCCGCUCACAGACCUGUGCUCUGUUUGCAGGGUGCAGGGUCUGAGCUGCUUUUCUCAUUACAGGCAAUAUUCACUCAAUGCAGAGAGAAAAACCAUGGCACAUCCAAACAACCUUGACAGAUGUCGGACAAAAUACAUCAUGCGCAACACCAUCCUGUAUGCGAAGCAGGGGCUCCGCGUGAGGAGGCGGCUGACUCGAGCCAACAUCAAGGAGAAGGUUAAGGAGACGAGGAAAAUCCUGGCAAAGCUACGCUUCUUGGCUGAAGAGGUACGGCUGCUCCUGGGCCAUCCUGCUCCCGAGUGG